CAGUUUGGGAAGUCCUGGAUUGACCUCUGAGGUAUACAGCCCGCUGCACACUUGCUGAUGAAGUCCAUGACAGUGGUGACAUACUCAUCUCGGGUGGGUGGCCUGCCUUUGAAAUGUACCAGUCUACUGACUCAAAGUGUAGACUCAUCGAUUUCCUCUGAGCAAAUGAAAGUUACAUAAGUCGUUUGCCAUUGCCUUCUUCUGGGCAGUGUCUUUACAAGACGGGUGACCUUAGCCAUUAUCAGCGCUCUUCAGAGAUUGUCUGCCUGGCAACAGUAGUCGCAUAACCAGGACUUGUGGUAUGCACCAGCUGCACAUACCACCACCCUCCACCUGAUCCCAUGGCUUCACAAGAAACUGAAUGGGGAUUGAAAAAGAAAGAAAGGAGUUUGCAAAGAUUUUGCGUGACAUCUAAAACUCUGACGAAAUUUCAUAGAUGUGUGGUGGAGAGUAUAUUAACUGGUUG